UUCUGAGUGAGGGGGAGAGGAGUCAUCAUCCAGGUAAAGUGACGUGGAUCAGUGGAUACACUUGUCUCCCCUUUAAAGGAGACGAUCCAAGUCAUCCUUAAAUAUGGACAGGAUAUCAGUCUUGGACUGUCUAACCUGCCGGAGCAGCACUGAAUGACCACCACACAUGAGCAUGUUCCUGCAACAUUCAGCAUCUGAUCUGUCAUCUGUGUGCUUCUGCUUUUGUGUCAAAUGUCAAACAGCUGGAGAGGAAACUACACCAGUGUACUGAGAUGUUUCAGCAACACGUGCCAGAUGCUGUUCCUUCAUGGUGACAGCACCAGAGACAGCCCCACCCACCUCAGGACCUCGCCAUUGAUCAUGAUGAUUAUAAUGAUGACAGCGAGCGGAACUAAGACUGUAAAAAUCCACGACCAGAAUGUUUAGAUGCUUUCUAAUGUAAUGUAAUGUAACGAAUACUGAGUUUUUGUCUCUCUUUUUUUUUCUCAUUUGUUACUAACAAAGUUCACCAAAUUCACACAGUUUACAUUCUGUAUGUUUCCAUCAAGGUUUAUUUUCGUAGAAAUCAUUGUUUUUCUCCUAUUCUCUUUUUCUCUUUUGUAAUUGAUGAUAAUUCACUGAAUAUACUGCGCUGCUUCCUUUUAUUGUGUCUCACAUUGCUUUAAGUUUUUCAGUGUCCAGUUAUUUUUUUUACUGCU